CCUACGGGUGGCAGCAGUGGGGAAUAUUGCACAAUGGGGGAAACCCUGAUGCAGCGACGCCGCGUGAGUGAAGAAGUAUUUCGGUAUGUAAAGCUCUAUCAGCAGGGAAGAAAAUGACGGUACCUGAUGAAGAAGCCCCGGCUAACUACGUGCCAGCAGCCGCGGUAAUACGUAGGGGGCAAGCGUUAUCCGGAUGUACUGGGUGGAAAGGGAGCGUAGACGGCAGCAUAAGUCUGGAGUGAAAUGCCGGGGCUUAACCCCGGAACUGCUUUGGAAACUGUGCAGCUAGAGUGCAGGAGAGGUAAGUGGAAUUCCUAGUGUAGCGGUGGAAUGCGUAGAUAUUAGGAGGAACACCAGUGGCGAAGGCGGCUUACUGGACUGUAACUGACGUUGAGGCUCGAAAGCGUGGGGAGCAAACAGGAUUAGAUACCCCGGUAGUC
rnacentral:rRNA from 1 species